rnacentral:rRNA from 1 species
GAUGUCGGCUCAUCGCAUCCUGGGGCGGUAGUACGUCCCAAGGGUUGGGCUGUUCGCCCAUGAAAGCGGUACGCGAGCUGGGUUCAGAACGUCGUGAGACAGUUCGGUCCAUAUCCGGUGUAGGCGUUAGAAUAUUGAGAGGAGCCUUCUCUAGUACGAGAGGACCGAGAAGGACAUACCUCUGGUGUACCAGUUAUCGUGCCAACGGUAAACGCUGGGUAGCUAUGUAUGGAGUGGAUAACCGCUGAAAGCAUCUAAGUGGGAAGCCCACCUCAAGAUGAGUAUUCUCAUCACGAAAGUGAGUAAGGUCACGGUAAGACUAACCGUUUGAUAGGCAUUAAGUAGAAGUGCAGUAAUGUAUGUAGCUGAGAUGUCCUAACAGACCGAGGAC